rnacentral:rRNA from 1 species
UACGGAGGAUCCGAGCGUUAUCCGGAUUUAUUGGGUUUAAAGGGUGCGUAGGCGGCCUAUUAAGUCAGGGGUGAAAGACGGCAGCUUAACUAUCGCAGUGCCUUUGAUACUGAUGGGCUUGAAUGUAGUUGAGGUAGGCGGAAUGUGACAAGUAGCGGUGAAAUGCAUAGAUAUGUCACAGAACACCAAUUGCGAAGGCAGCUUACUAAAGUAUGAUUGACGCUGAGGCACGAAAGCGUGGGGAGUCAAACAGGA